GCUCGAGGUGGUGGGGCGCUUCCACGGCGCGCUCGCGGCGCGCCGCGCCAAGGAGGCGUUCGUAGCCCGUUUCCAGCGC
rnacentral:tRNA from 3 species